UGGGGUGUAGCUCAGUGGUAGAGCACUUGCCUUGCACAUGUGAGGCACUGGGUUCUAUUCUCAGCACCACAU
rnacentral:tRNA from 1 species